CUCUGUGACUAUCUUAUUGAUGAGUCUGUGUUUGUCUUUGGGAAUUGUGACUUUGUGUGACUCUAUUAUAUAGAUAAGAGAGAGAGUAGAGAAAAUAUCAGUGUUUGACUGUUUGUUGUGUGGUAGUUGGGAAAUAAAAUAGGGACAAGUUACAGGCUCACAGCAAAAGGAAAACUUCAUUUUUGGUUAUUGUUAUCACAUUGUUAGUUUUUGGAAUAGAGUUACUAGAUUGGAGUUGGUAUUAAGUUCAUCUUGUUAUCAUUGGUUCUUUUUAGUUGCCCGCUUUAUGUUUUCUAAUAUGAAAAACUCUUUGAGUACUGAUCUUAGAAGCAAACCCUGAGUUCUUAGUCAUGUGGCUUAAUGGUUAGAAAUUUUCUGUUCUAGGUUCUGUUUCUAUUUAUUUUUUUCUUUUUUCAGCUGCUAACCAGAACAAUAUGUUUUAUGGAACUAUGACAUGAACAUUUGAGGUAAUUGAUGUAGUCACUUCCUUUUUGCUUGUCUAAUGUUUUAUGUUUUUCAUUUCAGCUAGUGCUUAUAUACCUGGAGCACUAGAUUUGAUGACUGACUUACUUCACAACCUCCAAUAUAAGACUAUGGAUCUAAUGUUUUAUCAUAUUCUUGUUUAUUUAGCAGCUGUUUCAGCAAAACCCACUUUUAAGCACAUUCCUAAGGUAUGCUGUUACAGUGUAGUGUUAAUAUGUUUGGAUAUAUCAGUCAAGGGGUUUAAUAGGUUUGUGUUUUUAUUCUUUCGUUGUUUGGUAGAUAUGUCAUGUAAUUGGGCUCUGGCUGUUUUGAGGCAAGUUUUACCCCCUUGAGCAUUUUGGACAGUGUAUUUUGAUAUUCUAAUUCUGUAUUCCAGGACUAGUAUUUUUAUAUCUAUAUAGGGAUCAUUAUUUGAGUAUCUGGGUAAAUUUAUUACUUAUAGUCUUAUAUACUUGGAUGAAACAUUUGGAUCAAAAUAUUUUUGAUUUAGAAAAUGAAUUUUUUAUUUGGUUUUUCAAUUACAAUUAAUUGGUUGACCACUGUAGAAUUUUUUUGGAUUGCAAGUACAUGACUGGGAAGCUGCUUUUGAAGUUGGAUACUGUUAAAUUCAUGGGGGAGCAAUUGCAUUUUUAGAAGAAUAUAGAUGCUCUCCAAGCAGAACAACUUUCCAUUAUACUAUUGGCUAGUUAAAUUUUAUGGAGCACAACCCCGUGAAAUUUAAGUCAUCAAUGGAUCCACUUUUGCAAGUACUCACCUCUCUCUCUCUGUCUGUUUCCAACAUGUGUCUUUAAGAGGAUUCUGUCCUGAUAGUGUAUAUGGUACGUUUAAAUUGACGCUUCAGUUUACAGAGGAUUAUCCAAACAAGCCACCGUGUGCUUUGUCUCUAGAAUGUUCCAUCCAAAUAUUUAUGCAGAUGGAAGCAUAUGUUUGGACAUUCUACAAAAUCAAUGGAGCCCUAUAUACGAUGUUGCAGCUAUAAUGGGUCAUAUGUUGUGUUUGGAGAAUGAUGACCUUUGGAGAAGGGUCAUUGAGGCAAAGUAUGGGAAUGGGGAUGGCUGGUGUACAAAUCUGUGAUGGGGCUAGCUUGACAUCUCUCUAGUCUGUUGGUUCAAAGAAAGGGAAAAUAAUAACCUGUGUACUCAUUUUUUUUUCGGAUUAUGUUAUUUUACACUACCUAAUAGCAGCAAUGACAGCAAUGGCAACCCAACCUAGUGGCUAAUCAGCUCACAUCAAACAUUUUCCAUAAGCCAUUAAUCUGUAGAACCUUUUUAUACUGUCGGUGCCACUCUGUGAAGUAUGGAUGUGGCAUAAACAGCCCAAAAGUUUUGGCUCUUUUAUUAUAUUGUUAAUUUUGCUAAACAAUGAGAUAGAAAAAUGAAAUUUUCAGGUCAAGAAAA